GCCGCUGUGAUGGAAUUGGCAGACAUAACAGACUUAAAAUCUGUCGGGUUCUUAACCCGUACCGGUUCGAGUCCGGUUAGCGGCA
rnacentral:tRNA from 1 species